CUUUCUUUACCUUCACUUUGGCUGGCUUAGCCUUCUCCUUCACAGGUUCUGCUUUAGCCUUCUCCUUCACAGGUUCUGGCUUAGCUUUCUCCUUUACAGCUUCUGGCUUAGCCUUCUCCUUUACAGCUUCUGGCUUACCCUUCUUUACAGCUUCUGGCUUAGUCUUCUUUACAGGGGUGGGUUCUGCUUUAGCCUUCUCCUUUGCAGGUUCUGCUUUAGCCUUCUCCUUCACAGGUUCUGCUUUAGCCUUCUCCUUCACAGCUUCUGGCUUAGUCUUCUUUACAGGGGUGGGUUCUGCUUUAGCCUUCUCCUUUGCAGGUUCUGGUUUAGCUUCAUCCUUUACAGGUGCAGGUUCUGGCUUAGCCUUCCUUACAGGGGUGGGUUCUGCUUUAGCCUUCUCCUUUGCAGGUUCUGCUUUAGCCUUCUCCUUCACAGCUUCUGGCUUAGUCUUCUUUACAGGGGUGGGUUCUGCUUUAGCCUUCUCCUUUGCAGGUUCUGGCCUAGCCUUCUCUUUUACAGAUUCUGGACUAGCUUUCUCCUUCACAGGUUCUGCUUUAGCCUUCUCCUUCACAGGGGUGGGUUCUAGCUUAGCAUUCUCCUUCACAGGUACAGGCUUAGCCUUUUCUUUCAAAGGUGCAGCCUUGUCUUCCUCCUUCACAGGUACAGGCUUAACCUUUUCUUUCAAAGGUGCAGCCUUGUCUUCCUCCUUCACAGGUACAGGCUUAGCCUUUUCUUUCAAAGGUGCAGCCUUGUCUUCCUCCUUCACAGGUACAGGCUUAGCCUUUUCUUUCAAAGGUGCAGCCUUGUCUUCCUCCUUCACAGGUACAGGCUUAGCCUUUUCUUUCAAAGGUGCAGCCUUAUCUUCCUCCUUCACAGGUACAGGCUUAGCUUUUUCUUUCAAAGGUGCAGCCUUGUCUUCCUCCUUCACAGGAACAGGCUUAGCUUUUUCUUUAGUUGGUUCUGGUCUAGCUUUCGCUUUAGGGAGCUCUGGCUUAACUUUCUCCUUAGCAGGCUCUGGCUUGGCUUUUUCCUUUACAGGCUCAGGCUUUGCUUUCUCCUUCAUGGUUUCUGGUUUAGCUUUUUCCUUAACAGCUUCUGGCUUUACCUUCUCUUUAGCAGGUUCUUUUUUAGCUUUGUCCUUCACAGGUUCUGCCUCAGCUUUCUCCUUCAUGGGUACUGGCUUAGCUUUUUCUUUUGCAGGUGCAGGUUCUGGUUUAGUCUUCUCUACUGCUGGUUCUGGCUCAGUUUUCUCCUUCAGAGCUUCUUUCUUAGCCUUUUCUUUCAGGGUCUUCAUUUUCUCCUUCACUGGUUCUGGCUUAACCUCCUCCCUUGUGGGCACUGGCUUUGCAGUUUCUUUUACAGUUAUUUUCUUAGCGGUUUCCUUUCCAGGUUCAAGCUUAAGUUCUUCCUUUUUGGGCUUAGGCUCAGCUUUCUCCUUCACAGGUUCUGGUGUAGCCUUCUCUUUUACAAGUUCUUCCUUAGCUCUCUCCUUUUUGGGCUCUGGCUUUGCCUUCUCUGCAAUGGGCUUUGGUUUGGCCUUGUCCUUAGGAGAUUCUGGCCUAGGUUUCUCCUCCUUGAAUUCUACCAUAGCUUCUUCCUUAUCGGUAGUAGGUUCUGGUUUAGCCUUCUCCUUUACGGAUUCUAGCUUGGCUUUCUGCUUUUCUGGUUCUGGCUUAGUCUUCUCCGUAAUGGGUUCUUGCUUAGGUUUCUCUUUUUCAGAUUUUGGCUUAGCUUUUUCCUUUACCGAUGCAGGCUCUGGCUUAGCUUUUACCUUUACCGAUGCAGGCUCUGGCUUAGCUUGCACCUUUACCGAUGCAGGCUCUGGCUUAGGUUCUUCUUUUACAGAUGCAGGCUCUGGCUUAGCUUUUUCCUUUACCGAUGCAGGCUCUGGCUUAGCUUGCACCUUUACCGAUGCAGGCUCUGGCUUAGCUUUUUCCUUUACCGAUGCAGGCUCUGGCUUAGCUUUUUCCUUUACCGAUGCAGGCUCUGGCUUAGCUUGCACCUUUACCGAUGCAGGCUCUGGCUUAGCUUUUUCCUUUACCGAUGCAGGCUUAGGUUCUUCUUUUACAGGUUCUGGUUUAUCUUUUUCCUUCACAGGUACAGGUGGAGGUGCAGGUUCUGAAUU
ensembl:lncRNA